rnacentral:tRNA from 3 species
GAGUUGUUAGCUCAGCUGGUUUAGAGCACUACCUUGACAGGGUAGGGGUCACUGGUUCGAAUCCAGUACAACUCAC